rnacentral:lncRNA from 1 species
UUCUACGGCAUCGCAAACGAACUGUAAACUAUGCAUAAAAAGCAAGAGCUGGUGCCAUAGAAUGUAGCUCAGAUUAAUGAUAUUCUGGAGCUUCCAGGCAAUGGGGAUCUUAUUCUUUCAUCGACAACAAGUAUGACCGCCCUUACAUCAAACAUCAACCAGGUGCAAAUAACUGCAGCAGCAAAAUCUUAAAAAUGCUUCUCAAGAAGUCCAUCACCCAUGAGAGCUAACAGCCUUCAGUAUCGGGUUGCUUAGAAUUGAGCUGAAGAGACCUCGAGCCUGCAAAGGAAGCACAGCUUGAAAAGUCACAACAGUCAUUUGAAUGGCCUAACAAAAUUAGGCAAUAUUGUAAGGCAAAUUAUGCUUCCUGCACGUCGGGGAAGCUAAAGGAGCACCACCUGAAGCUGCAAUCAACCAUGAAACCAAUCCAUCCAAGAAGGGUAAAAGCACUUCAUAUUACGUGUCCCCUGAGGUUUACUUCCUAAACUGCUCACAGACAAUUCAUCAAACACUUCAACGGCAUCAAAAGUUUUUCCCUCGAAACAUAAACACAACCCUUUUAGUAAAAUCACUAGACUCCUUAAUCUUUCACAAUCUCCCAUUCCCAGGCAUUUUAGUAAUUAGAGGGCUUUUGCUGAGUCAGAUUACUAUUCAGAGUUAACUCAACAGAAGCAGAAAGAAAAAUUACUAUCAUUAUAAAGGCAGGAUCAAGUAUCCAUCCAACAAACAACAAACAAAAGAGAAAAUAAAUAGGCAACAGUUAUAUGAUCUUUCUCUAAAAUCCAAAACCUAUCAAGACAUCAAAUUUAAAGCCCAUUUUAAUCCUUGCAAACAUAAAUAUAUAUGAACAUUCGUUAGAAUCACAAAGAAAAGAAUAAUCAGCCACCACCAAGGCCAGCAUUCUGUUGCUGAAUCUCGGAACUUUGCAAAGACGCACUGAUUGGCCCCAGGUUCACAUUUCUAGCACUCUCCCCAUAAUUACUUGCAGUAAUAGAUUAUUGAGCACUACUAUCAUCAUUAUUAUGAAGCUGCUGUUGUUGUUGUUGGGCCAGCUGCUGCUGUUGUUGUUAUUGGGCCAGCUGCUGCUGCUGCUGUUGCAAGAACC